GGGCCCGCACAAGCGGUGGAGCAUGUGGUUUAAUUCGAUGAUACGCGAGGAACCUUACCAGGGCUUAAAUGUAAGUUGCAUUAGUUAGAGAUAGCUAUUUCUUCGGACCACUUACAAGGUGCUGCAUGGUUGUCGUCAGCUCGUGCCGUGAGGUGUCAGGUUAAGUCCUAUAACGAGCGCAACCCCUGUUGUUAGUUGCCAUCGAGUCAUGUCGGGAACUCUAACAAGACUGCCGGUGCAAACCGUGAGGAAGGUGGGGAUGACGUCAAAUCAUCACGGCCCUUACGUCCAGGGCUACACACGUGCUACAAUGGGAAGGACAAAGAGCCGCGAAGCCGCGAGGUGUAGCUAAUCUUCAAAGCCGGUCUCAGUUCGGAUCGGAGUCUGCAACUCGACUCCGUGAAGCUGGAAUC
rnacentral:rRNA from 1 species